rnacentral:misc_RNA from 1 species
GAUGAAGAACGUAGCGAAAUGCGAUACUUGGUGUGAAUUGCAGAAUUCAGUGAAUCAUCGAAUCUUUGAACGCACAUUGCGCCCGUCAGUAUUCUGGCGGGCAUGCCUGUUCGAGCGUCAUUACGCCCCUCAAGUCCCCUGUGGACUUGGUGUUGGGGAUCGGCGAGGCUGGUUUUCCAGCACAGCCGUCCCUUAAAUUAAUUGGCGGUCUCGCCGUGGCCCUCCUCUGCGCAGUAGUAAAACACUCGCAACAGGAGCCCGGCGCGGUCCACUGCCGUAAAACCCCCCAACUUUUUAUAGUUGACCUCGAAUCAGGUAGGACUACCCGCUGAACUUAAGCAUAUCAAUAAGCGGAGGA